GACGAACGCUGGCGGCGUGCUUAACACAUGCAAGUCGAACGGAAAGGCCCUGCUUGCAGGGUAUUCGAGUGGCGAACGGGUGAGUAACACGUGGGUGAUCUGCCCUGCACUUCGGGAUAAGCCUGGGAAACUGGGUCUAAUACCGGAUAGGAGCCAUUUUUAGUGUGAUGGUUGGAAAGUUUUUUCGGUGUAGGAUGAGCUCGCGGCCUAUCAGCUUGUUGGUGUGGUAAUGGCCUACCAAGGCGGCGACGGGUAGCCGGCCUGAGAGGGUGGACGGCCACAUUGGGACUGAGAUACGGCCCAGACUCCUACGGGAGGCAGCAGUGGGGAAUAUUGCACAAUGGGCGCAAGCCUGAUGCAGCGACGCCGCGUGGGGGAUGACGGCCUUCGGGUUGUAAACUCCUUUCGCUAGGGACGAAGCUUUUUGUGACGGUACCUAGAUAAGAAGCACCGGCUAACUACGUG
rnacentral:rRNA from 1 species